rnacentral:misc_RNA from 1 species
UCACAAUACAUCUCUGUUCAAAUCAUGCAAUCCUCACAGAGUAAUGAUCCAAACAUGAAGAGUUCUCAAGCGAUAACUAAGCUCCUGCCAUUAAUGAUUGGUUAUUUUUCUCUUUCAGUUCCUUCUGGUCUAAGCCUUUAUUGGUUCACAAAUAACAUAUUGAGCACAGCACAACAGGUGUGGCUUCAGAAGUUAGGGGGUGCAAAGAAUCCUGUGAGCCAAGAAGACCAACUUCGGAUUCAGAAAUCAGUCUCUGAAUUAAAUACCACAAAAACUAAGGCUGAACAAGUUGAAAUUUUGACACCAGAAGGUUUUACAAAAUCUAAGGCUGGACAAGUUGAAACGUUAACACCAGAAAGACUACGUCCUGGUGAAAGAUUUAAACAGCUAAAGGAGCAAGAGGCCAAAAGAAGACAACAAAGAGAAGAAGAGAAGAGGAAAGCUGAACAGGCUGCUGCAAAAAUAAAUCCAAUAGCAAAUGGUAGUCCUGAAAAUGCAUCUGAGAGAGAAAAUGGGGUGAGUUUGGCUGAUGCUGGUGUACUUAAGAAGUCUGCGGACAGCAUUAACAGUUCCUCUGCUGUUGGACUUGUAAAUAGUGAUUUAACUGGGCAGAACCUUAACAAAUAUGAGAAGACAACUUCCACGUUUGUUAUGGAGAAAGGUGAAAUUUCCAAUUCUAAUGCCUCUGGAAGUGUUGAACAUCAGGCCUAUGAAAAUAAACAAAAGGAAGUAGUUGAAGUACAUGGUAGCACGACGACAGACAACGAACUUUCUGAAGAAGACGUGCAUCAAGUCGCAAGAGACUGAUGGAAGAGAUGGAUGCCAUUUUAUUGGUACUCCAAAUUGAGUGAGACUAACAGGCAUGAUUGUUUACCUGUUAUGUUGAAUGGGGAGAGCAAGUUUUUUUUAUCGUUCUUGCUAAAAGGAGCAUGAGCAAGCAGCCUUCACUUGCAUUUCUGAUACUAAGAAGGUUUAUUUUGUGAUUGGUAAGUUUUCUGAGGCGUAUUUGGCAUACAGUAUUGAUACUGGGGUGGAAUGGAGAGAUGAAUAGAAAUUUUGGUGCAUCCCAUGUGGUCGUACAGGUGUCAUGUUUAAGUGGUCUUUAGAUUUCAGAAACAAAAUUCACUGUAGAAGCAGAAAAAUAGGAGUUUUGCAUUUUUUUUUAUAUAUAUCUUUUAGCAGAAGAGUAGAAAUAAUGAAUUACGUGGAGAAAUGCGACAGAUUAUUUGUUGCACUUAUUUCUUUACAGGCAUACCAUACUGACGCUGUCGCAAUAUCGGAGACAGUCCACUUUGGUGCAUCAGUGCAUGUCAUAUAUGAAGAAAUAAGACCUUUUUCUGUGUGUUAUUUUGGUUAUAUGAUUAUUUGUCAUCAGAAUGAAGUGAAAGAAUACAAUGCCCAUGUUUGUUAUCAUGGAAAGGAUCUUGGGGUCAAAAUUUCACAGCCUUCACCCAGUUUCCUUUAGAUGUGGUGCCAUGGACUUGCUUUAUUGUCCUAGUGCAAUUGUUGAUGGCUACAAGAAACUCCAGCAGGCAAUAAUACAUUUUCAA